rnacentral:rRNA from 1 species
AUUGAACGCUGGCGGCAUGCCUUACACAUGCAAGUCGAACGGUAACAGGUUAAGCUGACGAGUGGCGAACGGGUGAGUAAUACAUCGGAACGUGCCCAGUAGUGGGGGAUAGCCCGGCGAAAGCCGGAUUAAUACCGCAUACGACCUAAGGGUGAAAGGGGGGGAUCGCAAGACCUCUCGCUAUUGGAGCGGCCGAUGUCAGAUUAGCUAGUUGGUGGGGUAAAGCUCACCAAGGCGACGAUCUGUAGCUGGUCUGAGAGGACGACCAGCCACACUGGGACUGAGACACGGCCCAGACUCCUACGGGAGGCAGCAGUGGGGAAUUUUGGACAAUGGGCGCAAGCCUGAUCCAGCCAUGCCGCGUGCGGGAAGAAGGCCUUCGGGUUGUAAACCGCUUUUGUCAGGGAAGAAAUCCUUUGGGUUAAGACCUCGGGGGGAUGACGGUACCUGAAGAAUAAGCACCGGCUAACUACAU